rnacentral:rRNA from 1 species
UGGCGGACUGGUGAGUAACGCGUGAGGAACCUGCCUUUCGGAGGGGGACAACAGUUGGAAACGACUGCUAAUACCGCAUGACGUAUCGGGAUCGCAUGGUCUUGAUACCAAAGAUUUUAUCGCCGAAAGAUGGCCUCGCGUCUGAUUAGCUAGUUGGUGGGGUAACGGCCUACCAAGGCGACGAUCAGUAGCCGGACUGAGAGGUUGGCCGGCCACAUUGGGACUGAGACACGGCCCAAACUCCUACGGGAGGCAGCAG